CUCGUAGGCGGUUCGAUAAGUCGGGUGUGAAACCUCCAGGCUCAACCUGGAGACGCCACCCGAUACUGUCGUGACUAGAGUCCAGUAGGGGAGCGUGGAAUUCCUGGUGUAGCGGUGAAAUGCGCAGAUAUCAGGAGGAACACCAGCGGCGAAGGCGGCGCUCUGGGCUGGAACUGACGCUGAGGAGCGAAAGCGUGGGGAGCGAACA
rnacentral:rRNA from 1 species